GAGGAAUAUUGGUCAAUGGACGAGAGUCUGAACCAGCCAAGUAGCGUGAAGGAUGACUGCCCUAUGGGUUGUAAACUUCUUUUAUACGGGAAUAAAGUGAGGUACGUGUGCCUUUUUGUAUGUACCGUAUGAAUAAGGAUCGGCUAACUCCGUGCCAGCAGCCGCGGUAAUACGGAGGAUCCGAGCGUUAUCCGGAUUUAUUGGGUUUAAAGGGAGCGUAGGCGGACGCUUAAGUCAGUUGUGAAAGUUUGCGGCUCAACCGUAAAAUUGCAGUUGAUACUGGGUGUCUUGAGUACAGUAGGGGCAGGCGGAAUUCGUGGUGUAGCGGUGAAAUGCUUAGAUAUCACGAAGAACUCCGAUUGCGAAGGCAGCCUGCUGGACUGUAACUGACGCUGAUGCUCGAAAGUGUGGGUAUCAAACAGGAUUAGAUACCCUGGUAGUCCACACAGUAAACGAUGAAUACUCGCUGUUUGCGAUAUACAGUAAGCGGCCAAGCGAAAGCGUUAAGUAUUCCACCUGGGGAGUACGCCGGCAACGGUGAAACUCAAAGGAAUUGACGGGGGCCCGCACAAGCGGAGGAACAUGUGGUUUAAUUCGAUGAUACGCGAGGAACCUUACCCGGGCUUGAAUUGCAACUGAAUGAUGUGAAGACAUGUCAGCCGCAAGGCAGUUGUGAAGGUGCUGCAUGGUUGUCGUCAGCUCGUGCCGUGAGGUGUCGGCUUAAGUGCCAUAACGAGCGCAACCCUUAUCGAUAGUUACCAUCAGGUUAUGCUGGGGACUCUGUCGAGACUGCCGUCGUAAGAUGUGAGGAAGGUGGGGAUGACGUCAAAUCAGCACGGCCCUUACGUCCGGGGCUACACACGUGUUACAAUGGGGGGUACAGAAGGCAGCUACACGGCGACGUGAUGCUAAUCCCGAAAGCCUCUCUCAGUUCGGAUUGGAGUCUGCAACCCGACUCCAUGAAGCUGGAUUCGCUAGUAAUCGCGCAUCAGCCACGGCGCGGUGAAUACGUUCCCG
rnacentral:rRNA from 1 species